CGAGCGAUACACGACGUUAUCGUAUUAAUAGCCAACGCCAUACGGCCCGCUCGUAUCCAACAUUUUUCUAUUCGAUCGUGUAGGGUCGAGGAAGAUCAACGAGAGGAAGGACGAACAAGGGGGGAGAAGAAGUGGAAGAAGCAGGUGACGGCCCGAGCAACAAGUGCGCGUACGAACGAAAGAUUUAUAAAUAACGCCGGACCGUUGUGUGCGACAAACGCGUCUAUCUGCGUCUAACGAUACGAUUCAUUAUCGCUUUAUUGCCGUGCAAGCGAUAUUACGCACGCACGAUAUCUUUGUAUAGGAACUCGUGAGCGAGUUGGUCAAGAUUAAUCGCGAUAUAAAUUGAAACUGGAUCCUGUCAAGGCGCUUUGCGUUUACGACGAUGACGACCACGCGCGUGAUUACGUAAGCCACGAUUACGUUCUCUUCGAUGCGAUACCUACCAUCGUGAAGAGGUUUCGACGAACUGUUCACGAGAUUCAUGAACGCGUUAAGCCCGUCCUCCUCGUUAAUAUUUUCGAGCGUUGGCGUCGUUAUCAUUUCCAG